AACGAACGCUGGCGGCAGGCCUAACACAUGCAAGUCGAGCGAGACCUUCGGGUCUAGCGGCGGACGGGUGAGUAACGCGUGGGAACGUGCCCUUUGGUUCGGAAUAGCCCCGGGAAACUGGGAGUAAUACCGGAUAAGCCCUACGGGGGAAAGAUUUAUCGCCAAAGGAUCGGCCCGCGUUGGAUUAGAUAGUUGGUAGGGUAAAGGCCUACCAAGGCGACGAUCUAUAGCUGGUCUGAGAGGACGAUCAGCCACACUGGGACUGAGACACGGCCCAGACUCCUACGGGAGGCAGCAGUGGGGAAUAUUGGACAAUGGGCGCAAGCCUGAUCCAGCAAUACCGCGUGUGUGAAGAAGGCCCUAGGGUUGUAAAGUACUUUCAAUAGGGAGGAAAACCUGUCGGUCAAUACCCGGCAGCUUGACAUUACCUAUACAAGAAGCACCGGCUAACUCCGUGCCAGCCGCCGCCGUAAAAC
rnacentral:rRNA from 1 species